GAUGAACGCUGACAGAAUGCUUAACACAUGCAAGUCCACUUGAAUUUGGGUUUUUAACUUAGGUUUGGGUGGCGGACGGGUGAGUAACGCGUAAAGAACUUGCCUCACAGCUAGGGACAACAUUUGGAAACGAAUGCUAAUACCUAAUAUUAUGAUAAUAGGGCAUCCUAUAAUUAUGAAAGCUAUAAGCGCUGUGAGAGAGCUUUGCGUCCCAUUAGCUAGUUGGAGAGGUAACGGCUCACCAAGGCGAUGAUGGGUAGCCGGCCUGAGAGGGUGAUCGGCCACAAGGGGACUGAGACACGGCCCUUACUCCUACGGGAGGCAGCAGUGGGGAAUAUUGGACAAUGGACCGAGAGUCUGAUCCAGCAAUUCUGUGUGCACGAUGAAGUUUUUCGGAAGGUAAAGUGCUUUCAGUUGGGAAGAAACAAAUGACGGUACCAACAGAAGAAGUGACGGCUAAAUACGU
rnacentral:rRNA from 1 species